AUGACGCUCAUCAGCUAGAACUGUCGAGGAAUUGGGCAACCUCGAAUAGUUCGGGAGCUCGUGGGCCUAGUGCACACGCAUAAGCCUAAGCUAGUCUUUCUUUCUAAAACUCGCAAAAGCGAUGAUUACGUGAAUAAACUGAGAUGGAGGCUAGGCCUCCGGCAUUGUAUUGUGCCACCCGGAAUUGGCAAGAGCGCCGGGAUUGGAUUGUUCUAUGAUGAGGAAGUUGAAAUAAAAGAAAUCGCUGUUGGACCAAGGUAUAUCGAUGUGCUCAUU
rnacentral:rRNA from 1 species